rnacentral:rRNA from 1 species
CCUACGGGAGGCAGCAGUGGGGAAUCUUUGCGCAAUGGGCGAAAGCCUGACGCAGCAACGCCGCGUGCGGGAAGAAGGCUUUCGGGCUGUAAACCGCUUUCAGCAGGAACGAAAAUGACGGUACCUGCAGAAGAAGGAGCGGCCAACUAUGUGCCAGCAGCCGCGGUGAUACAUAGGCUUCAAGCGUUGUCCGGAUUUAUUGGGCGUAAAGAGUUCGUAGGCGGUCAAGUAAGUCGGGUGUGAAAAUUCUGGGCUCAACCCAGAGACGCCACCCGAUACUGCUUAACUUGAGUUCGAUAGGGGAGUGGGGAAUUCCUAGUGUAGCGGUGAAAUGCGCAGAUAUUAGGAGGAACACCGGUGGCGAAGGCGCCACUCUGGAUCGAUACUGACGCUGAGGAACGAAAGCAUGGGUAGCAAACAGGAUUAGAUACCCUGGUAGUCCAUGCCGUAAACGGUGGGCACUAGGUGUGGGUUUCUAUUAACGAAAUCCGCGCCGUCGCUAACGCAUUAAGUGCCCCGCCUGGGGAGUACGGUCGCAAGACUAAAACUCAAAUGAAUUGACGG